rnacentral:rRNA from 1 species
AUACGCAGGUGGCAAGCGUUGUCCGGAAUUAUUGGGCGUAAAGCGCAUGCAGGCGGUGCCCUAAGUCUGUCGUGAAACUGCGGGGCCUCACCCCGUAUGGCGAUGGAAACCGUGGCACUUGCGUGCAGGAGAGGAAAGGGGCACUCCCAGUGUAGCGGUGAAAUGCGUAGAUAUUGGGAAGAACACCGGUGGCGAAGGCGCCUUUCUGGACUGUUUCUGACGCUGAGAGGCGAAAGCCAGGGUAGCGAACGGGAUUAGAUACCCCGGUAGUCCUGGCCGUAAACGAUGGGUACUAGGUGUGGGAGGUAUCGACCCCUUCCGUGCCGGAGUUAACGCAAUAAGUCCCCCGCCUGGGGAGUACGGCCGCAAGGCUUAAACUCAAAGGAAUUGACGGGG